AAUGGGAAUGGCUUUUCCCUAACCUUUUAGUAGGUAGAAUAUUUUGGCUAUAUCUGACCAAAACAUUCUAUUUGUUUUAUGUUCAAACUGACCAGAUCUUGCCUCUCACACUUACCCUAGAAUAUGAUUCUGAAAAUAAACAAUCACAUCACUAUAAUCUCAAAGUUAUGAGAUAAUGCAUGAUUAAUUCAAAACAAUGUUAAUGAAUAGACUUUACAUUUAAUAGAGUAAGCUGAAAGCUAAAGGUUUAAAGUAA